UACGUAGGGUGCGAGCGUUAUCCGGAAUUAUUGGGCGUAAAGAGCUCGUAGGCGGUUUGUCGCGUCUGUCGUGAAAGUCCGGGGCUUAACCCCGGAUCUGCGGUGGGUACGGGCAGACUAGAGUGCAGUAGGGGAGACUGGAAUUCCUGGUGUAGCGGUGGAAUGCGCAGAUAUCAGGAGGAACACCGAUGGCAAAGGCAGGUCUCUGGGCUGUAACUGACGCUGGAGGAGCGAAAGCAUGGGGAGCGAACAGG
rnacentral:rRNA from 1 species